UUAAUAUUGGAGCUGUAUGGGGUACCAUGGCAACUGGAUCAACAUAUAGCCAUAUGACCAAAUUUUUAAGCUGCAUGAAUAUUCCCACGAUGCCACAUAAAAUGUUUUAUAACAUAGAAGAAGAAUUGGGAAAGCAAUGGGAAGAAUCGCUAUGGAAGUCUCGGCUGGUUGUAAAGAGAAACAAUAUGCUUUGGAAGUAGGCCAUUGCCUACUAACUGAAGAUGGAUUACCGUAUAUUUAGACGGUUCUUGGAGCAAACGCUCUUAUGGUACUAACUACAAUGCUCUGUCUGGUAUGCUUAAAGUUGUAGGUAAAUAUACUGGAGAGUUACUUUUUGUGGGAGUGCGUAAUAAAUUUUGCUCUGUGUGCGCAUAUGCCCGUGGUAAAAUUUCAGUUCCCAAAGAACAUGUUUGCUAUAAAAAUUAGAAUGACUCUGCACCAGCUAUGGAAGCUGAUAUGGCAGUAGAAGCAUUCUCUGCCAGUGCCAGUACACGGAGUUCGUUACCUAAAAUUUAUUGCUGAUGGAGACUCUAGUGUUUUUGCUAAAUUGAGACAAAAAGUGCCCUAUAGUAAAGACAUUCGAAAAUCUGAAUGUACAAAUCACGCGUUGAAAAAUUAUGGUAAACGACUGUUCGCCAUUAAAAAAGACAAAUACAUUAACCUUACUGGACGAAAAAUGUUAACCAAGGGCAAAAUAAUUCUUCUCUAGAAACGUGCCAAAUGUACUAUUUAUGAACAUUCGAACGGUGACAGAGACAGAGACAUCAAUCUCCUUCGCAAGGAUCUUGAAUAUGGUUUACACCACGUUUUUGGAGACCACAGUCGUUGCCUCGAGGGCAUUUGUAACUCUGUUGGCGACCAAUAUAACAAUCUGAUUCCCACAUUGAAAGCGACUAACUUAUUUUUUCAUUUAAGCGGUUCCAUAGAUCUUUUGAUUCGCAAGGCUCAUCUAUUGAUUGAGAAUGAGAAUAAUAAUAGAAGCGAAAGACUGGUGAAUAUAGUAUCGUUUCAAUAUGGGAAAAAAUAAGAUUAAAUUUGAUUCAACGUGGUUCCUAUCAGAGAAGGGUUCAUCUUUCGGGUUUAAGGUACAAUCGAAGUUUUGAGUGGCCAACUAGUCCUUGGAAAAGAGUAACAAAAACAAGUCCAGGUAGAUAUACUACGAAAUUUGUAAGUGUGGGCUUUUCAUGUUACCUAUUAAGGAAAGUAUUAUAAAAAUGUAUGUCUAGUUCUUCGAAAAAAAAUAGAAAGUCGAGUUGUCACAGAAAACUUUUUUCUUCGACCAAACAACGAUCUCCCCAUAAUAAUUUGGAUUAUGAACCAAAGGCUGAAGACAUAGAACUGUUAUUUCGAUGGAGUGUGACAGAUUACUAAAUAAAUUGAAGGUAUCGGCAAUUGAAAGAGAUCGAAUACAAAUAAAUUCGGUGGGUCAAUUUGAUAACAGUCCACACGAGACAGAAAGAAGAUAUCGUCUAACAGCCUCGCUAUUUGGAAAAGUUAUAAAUCGAUUGCCUCAUACUCCAUGUCAUUCUCUUGCAAAAAUUAUACUGGAAAAGCAGUCUUUCUCUUCAUCUUCAACAGACUAUGGUAUUGCUAAAGAGGCAGUAGCUCUUCGUUUGUUCGAAUUAAAAACUAGCUUGAAAGUUACUUCGUCUGGAUUGUGGGUCGACUUAGAUAAUGGUUUUUU